rnacentral:lncRNA from 1 species
AAUCUUUUGGUGGACCUGUUGUAUUCUCUGGAACCGCUCACCUUCGUGUGAGUUUGCUAACUCGGUCCUGUUAAGUGGUUAAAUCGGAUGAAAUCCGACGGCACUUCGUGUUAACUUGACUAAGGCAUGAGUGUCGUGUGUUAGGCGACUUAACCGUGCGUUAAUCAAGCUAAUCCGAGGUGGAUCCGCCACAAAUCUCCUGGCUGGCCCAAGAAAGAAGAAGGUGAAAAAUUCC